GCCUGGCUGGUUCAGUUGGUGGAACAUGUGACUUUCAAUCUCAGAGUCGUGGGUUCAAGCCCCACAUUGGGCA